rnacentral:rRNA from 1 species
CCUACGGGUGGCAGCAGUGAGGAAUAUUUGUCAAUGGACGAGAGUCUGAACCAGCCAAGUAGCGUGAAGGAUGACUGCCCUAUGGGUUGUAACCUUCUUUUAUAUGGGAAUAAAAUGUUCCACGUGUGGGAUUUUGUAUGUACCAUAUGAAUAAGGAUCGGCUAACUCCGUGACAGCAGCCGCGGUAAUACGGAGGAUCCGAGCGUUAUCCGGAUUUAUUGGGUUUAAAGGGAGCGUAGGUGGAUUCUUAAGGCAGUUGUGAAAGGUUGCGGCUCAACCGGAAAAUUGCAGUUGAAACUGGCAGUCUUGAGUACAGUAGAGGUAGGCGGAAUUCGUGGUGUAGCAGUGAAAUGCUUAGAUAGCACGAAGAACUCCGAUUGCGAAGGCAGCUCACUGGACUGCAACUGACACUGAGGCACGAAAGUGUGGGUAUCAAACAGGAUUAGAUACCCGUGUAGUC